rnacentral:sRNA from 1 species
UCUGCGCAAGCUGAGACAAGUGUUCUGCUCAUUGCCAUAUUUAGCGUUAAAUGAAGACCUAACCUUGGCAUCGUUUCGUCACAAAAAAGAACCAAAACAUAGAUAGAAUCGAGAACAAUCACCAAAGAAAACAUGAAACUAUAAAUUUAUAAUCACGACCUGAAUGGGGGAUACGUUUCCUUUUACUAACUCAAGCGCAUACACAUAUUAACUAGCAAGGGUGCGUGCAGCAAAGGUGAGCAAAAAAUGGCAUUUAGACAAAAUGUUGCGCAUGUCUCUUGUCUUGCUUGAAAACUCCAAUGCAGCUGCAGCUGGCUGUGAACUGUUUUACCGACAUUGUGGGGACCUGGUUUUAAAUGGUUCACAUUAAUUGUAAACAACAAGCCAGUUAUAUAAAGUUCGCCAGAGCCGGCACACCCUCUUCUCACUUAGCAUCGGAGCAUACACGUUGAGCUAGAACUGAAUGCACAGCCACGCAAAAAAUAGAUUAUAGCUAUGUCUCAACUCAGCAUCUUAGAAGCUUGUGGACGUUAGCUUGAUCUAUAUACCCUUGGCAGUAACUAUAUAUAAACGGAACUGGUGUUUAUCGAAUAAAAACAACAAUUUAUAAUAAAAAACAAUGAAUGUGAAGAAUUUAAUUCUGUUUCUAAUAUUUAACUUUAUUCUACGGCAAAUAAGCAACCUGCGAUUUAAAGAAGACCAUUUAUAAAGUUUUAUGCAGAAAGCUUUAAAACUGAGAGCGCCCUUUGCGUAUAAACGGAUUGACUGACUGCCGGAUAUACAUACAUAUGUUAUCGGAUUGAAAUCUAUAUUGCCUCUACGUUAUUGUGAUUAAAACAAUAAUCGAAGACAGAUUUAUAAAUAAAGAAAUAGUAAAAAUAAUGUAAAAAAAAUCCAAUCUGCUGAACCCAAUUAUUUUCAGCUCCAUUUGACUUUAUAACCAACACAGCAUUUGCCAUAAUUCUUUUUUACUAUUAUAAUUGUUUGCGUUGUCUAUAAAAGCGCAUUUUCAUUGUUUUGUUCGGCUAAGCCCAGACCAGACGCCGACGCAGGUCUACAUAGAAACCAUAAUUGCUAUAGCCUUUUAUUCAUAAGCUGCACAUAGGCGGUUGUUAAGUUCUCUUGCGCAACAAGCAGUCGCGAAGCUGCCAUUUAUAGACCGCAGCAGCUGGCAGACACGCCAGGGCGUUAAGUGACCCUGAAUUAGUUUCUGGUCCGACUUUUAAGCAGUGAUGUAGUAAUGUAACUGUGGCUUUACGUUCUAGACAAUGUAUCGCAAUACAGAAUGCGUCUUAAUCGUUAUUGCGAUGCAAAACUAUUUAAAUGCUACACAUCUUUGAAGUUAUCCGAAUUUCGAUAUGUUGUUAGUGCAAAAGUUUAAAAGUUUUGUAUGUUCUUUUGUACUGAGCCCAAAAGUUUGUAACAUUUGAGACACACCCAAAAUUUUUCUUCGACCAGACCAACACAUAAGCCGACACGACGUUCACUUUUAGAUUGUAAUCCCAAGUCACCAAGUCAAAAAUGCUAUCAUUGCAUUUGUAUUUGGCAUAAGCAAUAGCUGUCCCUGGGUUUUGUUGCUAUAAUUUUUAUUUGAUCUGAAACUAAAAUUAAAUCUGUGUAUUGAUAUUUGUGGGGCUUCAAUAAUCGAUCGUAUAUAGCAACUAAUUUUCGUUAGCAAAGCGUCUUGGCGUCCAAGGAGCCAGCAUGGGAUGGGCUGGUGUGGCGGGUGUGACGAAUUCAUUGUAUUCCACAACGGUGGACUUCGUGUUGUGGCCUUUUCUAAUUUUUAAUUUAUACAUAUAAAUCAAAAAAUGUGGGGCUAGGAAAAUUCAGAAGAUUGGCGGGUAUCUGACAGACGAAGAAGUCGACUAUAGCGUUCAUUUUAUUUAAAUUUUGAAUGCAUAAAAACAAUUGUAUUUCUCAAAAAAGCAAAUAGAGUUUUCCAUCAGUAACACCGCUGCCAAACAAUGCGCCUGCUAUAUACGCCCUACACCAAAGGCGAGGAGUUCCCAGGUAUAAACUCUGUGCUGCGGACCGAGUAUGCGACUGUGCGAAUUUGAUAUUGUAAUUCAUUUUUAACCGAUUACUUAUACCCGUGAACUGCGGUCCGGGAAUGUUAAUAACAAACUUUGAUAUCGCUCAGAAAGAUUUCUGGCCACGAAAAUAUAUCUGAGUAGAUCGCAGUACAUGUCAUGUGUUUUUCGGUAGCCCAAUAUUCACUUCCAAUUUUAUGGUGGACACAUACUGGCUAAUCCUUAGCAGAGCGCUGCCCUAGUAAAUACGCUCGGAAUUGAAUUUUGUGUUUCAAUUGUGUUUGUAAAAUUCGACUUAAAUAUUUUUCAAUGCGGAUGAUUUAAUGUCUAGACGAACAGGCGCAACCGCCCUUUUCAUAUUAAUCUCGUGCAGAAAAAACCGUGGGUGCAGUGGGUGUUUUCCGGGUGCACUGAAUUACAAAUAGGUAAUGGCGAUUAAAAAUGUAUUAGGAGGAAUUAUUCACUUUCAGUGCAUCUCGACUGCCGAAAAGCCAUUGGUAGAUUAAUCCAUCACACCAAUGCCAGUGUGAAAAUAAGAGCACAGCCGACAAAGGCAGCUGUAGCAAUGUAAAAUUUGGCAUCGUCCUCUCAUUUCAAUUGUUUGAAAACUAAAAAUGCAUAUUAGCUAUAAAAUUUUUUUUUUAAUUGCUUGUGAAAAGCGGAAGCGUCAAACAAUAAGCGGAAAUCGAAGUCCCAUCUGAAAAGCUGAAACUGAACUGACUGCCUUGGGUUCAAGAAGCUCGCCAAGGUUCAGGCUGUUACCAGGGGUUUAACUACUUCAGAAUAUAAUAAGAACGCCUCAUUCUUAUGACAUUGCACGUAAGUUGUUAUUACUUUACAAAACUCAGCUUUAUGAUGUUGUUUUUGGGCAAAAUAAAAAAAAACAAUAAUCGAUACGAUCUAUCCACAAAAAUGUCAAAUUUAAUAUGUAGAUAUAUUAGUAAAUAUAUUUGACUGCUGGUACCUUUGAUUAUGUCUAAGCAAGCAAUGUAAAAAGUGGACGAUUGCCUACAACUAUGUACAUAUUUCCGGCACCAUCGAGUAUUUUCGCUGUAAACGACCUGUCUGUGGCUUGGCUUAGUGGUUUAAGCAGGCCUGGUCAUUGUUGCAGUUUAAAGUUGCCCUGGUGCUUAUCAAAUUCAUUUAAAUUAAAAGAGAAAGGAAAAUGGUUAUUGCCACAACGGUCUUAAGACCGUAUGACUCUAUGUCAGUCGUAAAUUGGUAAACACUGUUUGGAGCCCAUCUGAUAUACAUACAUACAUAUGUACUUGGUACCUUGACCUGCGAAGAAGUUAAACGAACCGUUAUCCGCUGGAGCAUGCAUUCAUAUACCCGCAGUGCUGCACCGCAAAUUGUUGACUACUUUUCGGUUGGAUGUUUCGCCAAAAAUGCAUGGGUUUGGAGUUGAGGUUGGCUGGAACAAGAUAUGGAACAAGAUAGUCCUCAUUCAAAUGGAAUGGCAAAUCGGUACUUUAAUGUCAUUACCCAAUUUAUAAUUAUUUAACACUUUUAAUACUGCCGUUAUGUAGCACUUAAUGCGACGACCAUGCAGUUGCAGUAUUUCGCCCUCGAAGCGUUUUACAUAAAAAUUGGAUUCCAAUUUAUGGAGCAAUUCCAGCUUUGCCGUUGGACUUGUUAUCCGAGUUUCUAUUCCCAGUCCGGAGUUGCACCCAAUCCGUUCUCUACAUAGAUUCGAUACAGUCACUGCUCGGAAACUUAUUUUGUAGUCUGCGCUCCGUCUCCAGUAUGGAUUGUUGUUGGUUAGCUAUUAUAGAGCACACUAGAUAUGGCAGCCUUAUUGCCAAUGCGACACACGAACCGCGGACAUUGCAUAGCACAUAAAUCGCAGUUGCAGUUAAACGAAGCGAAAGUGAUCAAAUUUAAAGAGGGCGUGGUGAGGCUAGCACCACAAUGUAGCGUUGUCGCUGUCGUUGCAGUCGGUCUAGCUACGGCCUCUAGCAAAAAGAUCUCAGAUACUUACACACACAGUGGAGCAAGCACGAAUGUCUCGUUCACCAGCGAGUUGUGUAUCUGAUGGUUAUGCAACAUUCUCUGUUUGACCCACUUUCGGUCCGUUUACUUGAGGUCUUUGUCGCCAAUGCUGGCCUGCAUUCACUUUCGGGCAACUCAAAUGCAAACUAUGGCCAGAAAUAAUUUUGUAAUCCUUAGAACAGCCAAUUGUUCGAUUAGCCAUCUUUCGCACUUGAGGUUUAGAGGAAAAUGGAAAGCUCUUACGAUUACUAUAUAUCGAAAAAAUUUUGAAAGUUAGCUACCAAUUAACAUUUUGAAAAGUUGCCCAGUUGAUAAUAACAUGUGCCACAAGAGUCAUAUUGCCAGUCAUAACGAGUGCACAUACUGGUCGGCUUGCUGCACUCAACUACAUCUAUGCUGCGUGCCAGCAAAGUCUUUUUUUUUUUUGCGUGUCUGCUUGCUGACAUGGUACAGGUGGCCGUUGCAUAUGACUAAGUCUAUAAAAAAAAACCAGCCGUAACACAGUAUUUUGCGAAUUCACCCCCUUUUUGGCAUUAAUCCUUUUGGAAGCGGUUAGUACCCACAGGUAGAAAGAACGAUGAAAUUCUCCUAUCUAGCUUAAGUUAUCUAAAUAUCAAUAUGCAAAGUCAGGCGUCAAAACUAGGCUCACAAUGACAGUUUCUAAUACGUAGACAAUAAUUCAAAUUACCCACACAAAUGUCCUACUACCGGGCCGCUCUCUGUUCACUUCACAACAAAUAAACUUAGCUAUGUUUGAAGUAUGUAUAUACGUAUAACUCCCGACACAGCUUUUUACUUGGACUGAAAACUGGAGCAUUCUCCCCCAAAAAAUUGUUGGGAGGUAAACUAAGCCACUGCUGAGAUACAGUAGAAAGUAUAUUUUCGAUUGUUCGAGUAUGAGUGGCAACAUAAGCCCAGGCGAUUGGCUAGUUGCAUAACAGUCAAAAAGCGCUUCAUGCCGGAGUCUCGCUUAGUAUUUGAAUGUUGCCCACAGCUACGAAAAUAAAAGUACUCGGGCAAGAGGCGUGGGGCAAGAGAAAGAGGUGGAUAUUUCCUGUUUUGUUUCUCUUUAGGCACACUGCUGCUAUUCACUUUUAUUUAUUACUAUCUAAGACAACUCAAGCCUCCUAUAUCAGCGAUUUUACUGCAAUGAAAAGUCAAAAUUGGGUUAUUUUGGCGGCACCAAUGAUUUCUUUAUAUUUGUUUAUAGAUUUUAAACCAUUUACAUUUGCGAACCCUUAUCCUUUUGCUCGGGCUUGUAGGUUUGACCCCAGCAGAAUAAGGCAUGAAUGACAUUAUAAACCGGAAACACAAUAAUAAAAUGCUGAUCAGUACGGAAAGGAAAAUAUUGUGUUUGUGGUCAUAUGGGUUAUGUUUCAUAAUCAAAGUAAUGUCGGAAUGCAACAAGCAAUUGAAUUGAUCGCCUUUGGCACUGAGUGAUUUAUAUUUCUAUCUGGUCAGUGUGUUGAGCGUGCGUUUAAUAUUUAACCAGACCCAAUGAAAUGGAAGACUGCAACAACAUGCUACGUGUAAUUAAAAGUUCAAACGCGUAACACGAAAAAGGGAAAUUGAGGCUUUUAUGAAGGCAGCGACUAUAUUGCUGAAUAUAACAAAGACCGUUAUUAAGGUUUCAACAUUCAUACUGACCUAUACUAAUAUUAUUAGCCAACUUAUAAGUAAUUAGAAGUGAAAGAAAUAUAAUAUUGAAAAGACUUCCAACUAAAUCCACGUAACUUAAUUGAACAGAUUUAUUUAAAGGCUUAAUGUUAUUUGACCUAACUGCCUCCUUACCAACUGCAGUGUUGACCAAUAGCUCAUUCGGGAUGACAUAAAUAAGAUCCAUUUGACGCUGCCAAACGAGGUGGCAAUUAGUGCAAUGGUUCGCGCCAUUUAUCUAAAUUUGGCCAAGCUAUUGGCGGUUACCAAUUUAAUGGCUUUAGAGGCGAUGUUGAAAUGCAACUUUUUCAAGCCAUCUUAUUUCGUACUAUUUUGGGCCAGGCAGCAGUGGCACAUCUAAGUCGCACCGGGUAUCAUCACUUAGUAAGAAAUUGAAGAAAUGGUGUUUUACAUAUACUAGCGCCUUGCGCACGACAAAGUAAAAUCAACGAAAGCUAUCCCGCGGUGUACUGUGUAUUUUUCUGUUUUAGUGUUGCUUUCGACUGACAUGAACGUCAAGUUCAUCUUCAAGCCACGUUUAUGGCUUGUUUUUCGCGUAUAUAUACAUAGGAUAGCAUACAAAAAGGCCAAGCUUAACAAUGGCCGGAAUGGUCAGGCUUUCGAUUCUGUGAUAAUUGCUCGGUGCGCGGUACGGUAAGGAAAAAAAUGUGAUCACAUGAGCUAUCUUUCUCUAUUAUCUGAAGGUGAGAAUUUCCAGCACAAGUUAUUUUCUCUAGUCCUAGAUACACCAAUAAAGUAAUAAAUAUUAAGCGAACACAAGCAACAAAUGCCAAGCAAAACCAGUCAAGAUUGUGGUCGAAUUACUGCGAGUUGCGUCACAACAGAGCUUUCAUGCCUCGCUUCGACUUAAGACUAAGCUUUUGAUCUGGCUUCAAAGUACAAUACGAAGCGUACAAAGUCUUAUUGUUCAGUGGAGCAGAAUGUCUGAUUGCGUAGCAUUAGUAGCGACAGCGCCACAGGCCCAAUAGCAAAUGGGAGCUACAUUAUACAAGUGUCAUCCAUGCUGUUGGCAGGUCUAGAGCUCUUGCAUGGUCAGUUACCAUUGGCACGUGAUUGGAUUUUUAUAUCUACCUCCGACGUACAUAUUUAUGUUAAUGUUAAAGGAUUUGUCAAUGUAGCAGACUGUAGCAAAUAUUCACAUCAGGGCAGAGGUCUAGAGGGAGAUGCAUGCUUGAUGAAUUUUCGAAGCAUGGUAACCCAGUUGUAGAUUAAACUAAAUGGCUCCUUGGAGCCUUGACACUAUCUCGCGAAAAAUCAUAUAUUCUGUCCCUCAGGAUCCAUUUAUUUCAUCGAUAUAAAUUUAUUUUACCUACUUCUUAUCCAAAUACUUGAGCUAAGUAAGAGCUCUUUCACAACGAAUGAGGAAAUAAAAAAAGUGAAAAGGGAAAUAGUAAACAUGGACUCUUCCACAAGAAUAACUAAUAUUUGUUCACAUCGUCAAACUAUGUGAACUAUUGAGAAUAUAUUCCUGCGAGCUUGCUCGUGAUUACAAAAUGUGUUCCCAAAAAACAAAACACUUCUUUCACGUGGAGUUAUGCCAUCCAGGUGUGGGGAACUGCCGCCAA